CACAGUAAAAGCUUGCUUUAACUAUGAUACUUGAGCCAUGAGAUGGUUAGUUUAGCUUAGCACAAACUACAGAGGCAGAAGAACAGCCUGUCUGGCUCUGUCCAAAGGUUGAAAAUCAAGUCCUCUAAAGCUCACUAAUUAACUGUGGCUUCACAGGAGGUUAUGGACUAUUUCUUGGCCGGACACGGUGAUUUCCUGGAAUCGUGAGGUUGCCAGUUGUCGUUUUCACUUUGGGUUUUGUUGGAUUACACAAACAUGAUAUAACAUUUUAAUUAUGGAUUCCCUAUUUCUCCGUGUGCCUUUGAGGUACAGCCAUGCAUUGAUUCAUCUCGUGACACACUGAACACUGGCUAAGCAUCAGUCUUCGCAAACAACAACAGAGUCCUGCUGAGCAGCUACCAAGGAUUACGUACCACUGCAUGGCAUCUGAUGAGAAGAAACUGAAAAGAGUCAAAAGAAUUCCCGUUGGUGUCUAUGUGUUGUUUGCACAUAUUGAACCAUUAUUGGCAGAUUG